rnacentral:rRNA from 1 species
GACGAACGCUGGCGGCGCGCUUAACACAUGCAAGUCGUGCGGUGUCGAAGGCAAGUCUUACGACAAGCCUUCGACACAGCGGCGAACGGGUGAGUAACACGUGAGUAGCUGUCCUAAGGAGGGGGAUAACGCCUGGAAACGGGUGCUAAUACCCCAUAUGCCUCGCAAGAGGUGAAAGUGUACUUGUUACAGCCUUAGGGUGUGCUCGCGGCCUAUCAGCUAGUUGGUGAGGUAACGGCUCACCAAGGCUAAGACGGGUAGCCGGCCUGAGAGGGUGUACGGCCACACUGGAAUUGAGAUACGGUCCAGACUCCUACGGGAGGCAGCAGUGGGGAAUCUUGGGCAAUGGGCGAAAGCCUGACCCAGCGACGCCGCGUUGGGGAUGAAGCCCUUCGGGGCGUAAACCCAUGUUGUAGGGGACGAAGAAAGUGACGGUACCCUACGAGAAAGCCCCGGCCAACUACGUG